UGCCGGAUCGUCCAACAGGCAGGACACCCGACUCUGGAUCGGGAAACGGAGGUUCGAUCCCUUCUCCGGCAGCCA
rnacentral:tRNA from 1 species